rnacentral:rRNA from 1 species
UCGAACGGAUCCUUCGGGAUUAGUGGCAGACGGGUGAGUAACGCGUGGGAAGCUACCUUGUGGUAGGGGACAACAGUUGGAAACGACUGCUAAUACCCUAUGAGCCCUAUGGGGGAAAGAUUUAUCGCCAUGAGAUGUGCCCGCGUUAGAUUAGCUAGUUGGUAAGGUAAUGGCUUACCAAGGCGACGAUCUAUAGCUGGUCUGAGAGGAUGAUCAGCCACACUGGGACUGAGACACGGCCCAUACUCCUACGGGAGGCAGCAGUGGGGAAUAUUGGA